UUAGAUGUCCGGGGCCGCACGCGCGCUACACUGAAGGAAUCAGCGUGUGCUUUCCCUGUCCGGCAGGACUGGGUAACCCGAUGAAUCUCCUUCGUGAUAGGGAUAGGGGCUUGUAACUGUUCCCCUUGAACGAGGAAUUCCUAGUAAGCGCGAGUCAUAAGCUCGUGUUGAUUAAAUCCCUGCCUUUUGUGCACAUCGCCCGUCGCUGCUACCGAUUGAAUGAUUUAGUGAGGUCUUCGGACUGGCGACCGGAGCGGACUCCGUGUCGGGCCGGCUUGCCGGAAAGAUGACCGAACUUGAUCAUUUAGAGGAAGCAAAAGUCGUAACAAAGUUUUC
rnacentral:rRNA from 1 species